AAUGAACGCUGGCGGUAGGCCUAACACAUGCAAGUCGAACGGCAACACAGUAAGAGCUUGCUCUUACGUGUGGCGAGUGGCGGACGGGUGAGGAAUACAUCGGCAUCUACUUUUUCGUGGGGGAUAACGUAGGGAAACUUACGCUAAUACCGCAUACGACCUACGGGUGAAAGCAGUGGAUCUUCGGAUCUUGCGCGAUUGAAUGAGCCGCUGUCGGAUUAGCUAGUUGGCGCGGUAAAGGCCCACCAAGGCGCCGAUCCGUAGCUGGUCUGAGAGGAUGAUCAGCCACACUGGAACGGAGACACGGUCCAUACUCCUACGGGAGGCAGCAGUGGGGAAUAUUGGACAAUGGUCGCAAGCCUGGUCCAGCCAUACCGCGUGGGUGGAGAAGGCCUUCGGGUUGUAAAGCCCUUUUGUUGGGAAAGAAAAGCAGCAGGUUAAUACCCAGCUGUUCUGACGGUACCCAAAGAAUAAGCACCGGCUAACUUCGUG
rnacentral:rRNA from 1 species